UACAGAGGGUGCAACGUUAAUCGGAAUUACUGGGCGUAAAGCGUGCGUAGACGGUUAUGUAAGUCGGGUGUGAAAGCCCGGCUCAACCUGGGAAUUGCAUUCGAGACUGCAUAGCUAGGGUGCGGAAGAGGGAAGCGGAAUUUCCGGUGUAGCGGUGAAAUGACGUAGAUAUCGGAAGGAACACCAGUGGCGAAAGCGGCUUCCUGGUCCAGCACCGACGUCAGGCACGAAAGCGUGGGGAGCGAAACAGGGAU
rnacentral:rRNA from 1 species